rnacentral:lncRNA from 1 species
GACGUCACCUUCCUCAUCGCCCUCAAGGACGCUGGCUUCCGUCCCGCCGCCCGCCCACCGCCUGUCCCCUUGGAUCCGACGGAGCCGACGUGGCCAAGAACGGAAGGGGGCCUCACCCCAAACUCCCAGAGGACUAAGUCCCUCCGAAAACUGUGCAGGCGCCGCGGAGACAGACCCCCGCCCCCGAGUCUUCGGCUGAGGCCUCGGCCUUACCACCGCCCCCGAUGCCGCUACUGCAGCCCCGUGAGAGGCCCCGAGGAAGUGGGGGUGAGCCACGCCUCAACUCCUGAUGUGCAGACGCGGAGACAUAAACGUUCACUGUUUGAGCUCAGAGAGUCUCGUGUUCUGGUCCUCAAUCUGCUGUCUCUUUCUGCUCCUUGGAGGUCAUCACUUCCGUGUUUAUUAUGCCCUGAAGACUUCUUUCCAUGUCUUCUUUGCCCUGAAAUUUAGUGAACAUUCAAAUUCUGGUAGCAAGACAAUGACCACCGUCUAAUCUCCUUUUCAACUUCAUUUCCCUUUUUAAUUACCUCUUUGAAGAUAGAAAUAUAUCUGAAAAAAAAUUAAAAAUAAAAGAAAAAAACAAAACAAAACAAAAAAACAAAAAAAGAGAAAUGUAUCUGAGUUCCGUGGAGAAACUGAACAGCCGGGGAGGAGUUCAGCUCCUAGGGGAGGAGGGACGUAGGGACACAGUGUAGCACACUGGGCAUGUGCCCGCUCCCCACUCAGCCUCGUAGGCCGCUCACCUGGUGUCUUCACCAAGUGGCUCAAGGCUACGGCCACGUAGAACAUGUCUUCUGAAUAACAACCGAGAAGGUGCAAAGUGAACUAGGCGGUGUCAGCCUUUCUUCCUUGUAGAACACGUUGAGGGAAACGUGACCUGAAUGAGCAAGGACCAUGGAUGCAACACAGGGACAUGUCAAUGCUGGAACUUUCUGUGGGACGGGCUUUUGUUGAGGCUUGCGUCUUCUAUCUGCGCUCUUCUGUGGAGCUGCUAGUACUGUUUUCAUUUGAAAUCAACCCAGGAUGUCAAGGAAAACGGAGAAAACGCUUAGGAAGAGCAUGUGAACUCCAACCGAAGCGGACUAAGCAGUGAACACAGCUCUGCACGCCCCCCUCCGAGUUCCUCCAGGUUCUCCCCUCCCUCAUCGACAUCGGACUCGUUUUCCUAAGGCACAGUAUGGGGUUCCCCAGCUUUGAUAAGGUGAUGUGUUACAGUUCUUUUUUAUAUUAUAUAUAUAUAUAUAUAUUUUUUUUUAAAUAUUAAGGUAGUAUCACAGAUAAUUUGGGAAACGAGAAAUCAUUAACAAGCAAAAAAGUAUUAUCCAUGAGUUUGCAACGGGUUCCGGGCUGUGUCCUUUGG